AUUGAACGCUGGCGGCAGGCCUAACACAUGCAAGUCGAACGAGUGGCGGACGGGUGAGUAAUGUCUGGGAAACUGCCUGAUGGAGGGGGAUAACUACUGGAAACGGUAGCUAAUACCGCAUACCAUCGGAUGUGCCCAGAUGGGAUUAGCUUGUAGGUGGGGGAACGGCUCACCGAGGCGACGAUCCUUAGCUGGUCUGAGAGGAUGACCAGCAACACUGGAACGGAGACACGUGCCAGACUCCUACGGGAGGCAGAGUUGGGGAAUAUGGCACAAUGGGCGCAAGCCUGAUGCAGCCAUGCCGCGUGUAUGAAGAAGGCCUUCGGGUUGGAAAGUACUUUCAGCGGGGAGGCGUUACCCGCAGAAGAAGCACCGGCUAACUCCGUGCCAGCAGCCGCGGUAAUAC
rnacentral:rRNA from 1 species